rnacentral:lncRNA from 1 species
GUAUCUGUAUUGAGCCACAUACCAGGAGCUGAGAGGAGCCUGGCCAGCACCACACAUGAUCAGAAAUAGAAAUCCUGAGCUCAGCCAGGAGUGAUGGAAGAGUUUUGGCUGGAUGGUGCACAAAAAGCUUUGUGCAGUCACAGAGACAGUGGAGUUGACCUUCAAACCAUAACACUUUUAAAUAUCUGUGAAUAUACAAGGUUAAAUCUAUUAGUGGUCUGAGAUUAGCUGUUCUGCACUUCCAAAGUGUGUACCUUCUGCAGCAAAUUUUAUCUCCCGGUGAAUGAUAACGAGCUUACAUCCACCCUACAAGUUUUCAACAAAUAAUGGGAUAUGUGUUUUCACUGGGACCGCCUUCGCUUUCUCAACUCCUCACUCUCCUACCCACUGACUACAUCAGCUCCUGGCUGCUCUCUGCCAGCUAAGGCACACAGGCUGCCAAAUAGCUUCCUGCUCAAAGAUCUCUGCAUCCUCUCUGUGCCACGGGCCAUCACCCUGCAGCUCCAAUGUUUUUUUCCCCAGAACAGUGAUAUGGAAGGAUGUCAUGCUUUGAGCUGA